rnacentral:rRNA from 1 species
UACGUAGGAGGCGAGCGUUGUCCGGAGUUACUGGGCGUAAAGGGCUCGUAGGCGGCCAACUAAGUCGGACGUGAAAUCCCUCGGCUCAACCGGGGAACUGCGUCCGAUACUGGAUGGCUUGAGUUCGGGAGAGGGAUGCGGAAUUCCAGGUGUAGCGGUGAAAUGCGUAGAUAUCUGGAGGAACACCGGUGGCGAAGGCGGCAUCCUGGACCGACACUGACGCUGAGGAGCGAAAGCCAGGGGAGCAAACGGG